rnacentral:rRNA from 1 species
GAUGAACGCUGGCGGCGUGCCUAAUACAUGCAAGUCGAGCGAACAGACGAGGAGCUUGCUCCUUUGACGUUAGCGGCGGACGGGUGAGUAACACGUGGGUAACCUACCUAUAAGACUGGGAUAACUUCGGGAAACCGGAGCUAAUACCGGAUAAUAUUUCGAACCGCAUGGUUCGAUAGUGAAAGAUGGCUCUGCUAUCACUUAUAGAUGGACCUGCGCCGUAUUAGCUAGUUGGUAAGGUAACGGCUUACCAAGGCAACGAUACGUAGCCGACCUGAGAGGGUGAUCGGCCACACGGGAACUGAGACACGGUCCAGACUCCUACGGGAGGAAGCAGUAGGGAAUCUUCCGCAAUGGGCGAAAGCCUGACGGAGCAACGCCGCGUGAGUGAUGAAGGUCUUCGGAUCGUAAAACUCUGUUAUUAGGGAGGAACAAACGUGUAAGUAACUGUGCACGUCUUGACGGUACCUUAUCAGAAAGCCACGGCUAACUACGUG